rnacentral:rRNA from 1 species
GACGAACGCUGGCGGCGUGCUUAACACAUGCAAGUCGAACGGAAAGGCCCUGCUUUUGUGGGGUGCUCGAGUGGCGAACGGGUGAGUAACACGUGAGUAGCCUGCCCUUGACUUUGGGAUAACUUCAGGAAACUGGGGCUAAUACCGGAUAGGAGCUCCUGCUGCAUGGUGGGGGUUGGAAAGUUUCGGCGGUUGGGGAUGGACUCGCGGCUUAUCAGCUUGUUGGUGGGGUAGUGGCUUACCAAGGCUUUGACGGGUAGCCGGCCUGAGAGGGUGACCGGCCACAUUGGGACUGAGAUACGGCCCAGACUCCUACGGGAGGCAGCAGUGGGGAAUAUUGCACAAUGGGCGGAAGCCUGAUGCAGCAACGCCACGUGCGGGAUGACGGCCUUCGGGUUGUAAACCGCUUUCGCCUGUGACGAAGCGUGAGUGACGGUAAUGGGUAAAGAAGCACCGGCUAACUACGUG